UGGUGCUUCAGCAUUCCUAAGUGUGCUCACAUCUGUGGUGGGGUGCAUGUGGGGGCAGGGUUGCUGGUCUUCAGGCUUACGCUUGCCCCAGUGGCAGCUGGGGCAGUAAGCUGAUGGGGGCAGGGUUGUUGGCCUUCAUGCAUGCUUUUGCACAAUCAGUAGUGGCAGUGCAGGGGUGGAGGGGUUGCUGGCAUCUGUGUGUUCAUUUGCAGUGGUGGUAGUGACACUUGACUGGUAUUCUAAGGCAAAGACAACGUAAGUUAUUAUUUCUCACAAGGUUAAAAUCAAUCUUAAAGCUUCACUGACCUAGUGGCCUUUAAAAUCUACCACUAUGUACCCUCGAAUGUAAUUAUUUAUGGAUGGCACGCAUAGCCUACUUCUGUGACUGGCUUUGCUGACAAUCAUACAGCUCAGUUUUCUAUCCCUUAAUCAAAACUCAGCAGACACAGUGGCUCACGCCUGUAAUCUCAGCACUUCGGGAGGCCAAGGCAGGUGGAUCACCUGUCAGGAAUUCAACACCAGCCUGUCCAACAUUGUGAAACCCCAUCUCUACUAAAAAUAAAACAAUUAGCUGGGUUUAUGGUGCGUGCCUGUAGUCCCAGCUAGUAAGGAGGCUGAGGCCCGAGAAUCAUUUGAACUCAGGAGGCAGUGUUUGCAGUGAGUUGAAAUUGCAACACUGCAUUCCAGCCUAGGCAACAAUGAGGCUCCAUCCAAAAAAAAAAAAAAAUAGCUUUUCUUCUCAAAUCUACUGCAGACUCCUAGAAGGCAAGGGCUGUAGCUUACCAAAAUUAAAAUGAAAUUGUCCAAGCUCCUGAAAUGUUUUAUUAUUAUGGCUUUUUUAUUACAAUAAAAUAUACAUAACAUUUACCAUAUCAACCAUUUUGAAGUGUUCAUUUAAAGCAGCAUUAAGAAUAUUUAUGUUUCUGGGCACAGUGGCUCAUGCCUGAAGUCGCAGCACUUUGGGAGGCCAACCUGGGUGUACCAUUUGAGGUCAAGAGUUUGAGAUCAGCCUGACCAACAUGGUGAACG
rnacentral:lncRNA from 1 species